AGAGUGAACGCUGGCGGUAGGCCUAACACAUGCAAGUCGAACGGCAGCACGGUAAGAGCUUGCUCUUAUGGGUGGCGAGUGGCGGACGGGUGAGGAAUACAUCGGAAUCUACCUUUUGGUGGGGGAUAACGGUAGGGAAACUUACGCUAAUACCGCAUACGCCCGUUCGGGGGAAAGCCGGGGACCAGCAAUGGCCUGGUGCUGAUAGAUGAGCCGAUGUCGGAUUAGCUAGUUGGUGAGGUAAUGG
rnacentral:rRNA from 1 species